rnacentral:rRNA from 1 species
AUGAUGGGAGCACGUCAGCAGGCAAUGAGAACCUUGGAGGGUAUGGUUUGUAUGAAUUCCUCAGAGGUAGAAACAACAAGAGCCACUGAAGAUAAUAUAAUUGUUCCAUACGGUUCCUGCUUGUAUGAUGUUGACAACCUUGAAGAAGAUGAAAUCGAAGAGGAUGAAGUCUUACGUUUGGGAGGAAACAGUCCAAUCACUUGGACAGACAGGCCAAAAGCAAAUCUCCUGCUGCAUGAUCUUCAAGGUUGGAGGGCUGAACAAGGGCACCAAAAAGUGCCAGUUGCAAAUUGGCAACAUGGUAAACAUGUCGCCACAGAGUCAAGUGGCACUAGUGGAUGGAACCAGAGCAGUUCUACCAUGAAAGUUUAUCAGAGAAGGCAACGUAAUAGUAAUUGGAGCUCAGAUGCAACACAGCAAGAUGGUAAACCGAGUUGGAACAAAGCAUAUGUGGCAGGCCCGAGCAACUUUGCCAUUACAGGGCCAUCAUGUGGUACUAGUGGAUGGAACCAGAGCAGUUCUACCACGAAAGUUUAUAAGAGAAGGCAAUUUGAUAGUAAUUGGAGCUCAGAUGCAACACAACAAGAUGGUAACCCAAGUUGGAAGAAAGCAAAUGUGGCAGGCCAGGGCAACUUUGCCAUUACAGGGCCAUCUAGCUCUGGUGGAUGGAGUAGAAAGACCAAUAAUCUUGGUAGAGGUCGAGGUGGUGGUAGAGGUGCAGUGUGGAAAUCAGAGGGAUCACACCGUGGAGGUAACAGUAGGUGGAAAGCCCAAAGAGCCAAUACCACAAGCGCCCCGAACUUCCACAUUUCAGGACCAUCCAACUUUGGUGGACGGAACAUCAAGACCGGCAAUCUUGGCCCAUGCCGUGGCAGAGGACCAGCAUGGAGAUCAAACGGACCAAACCGGGGAGGUAGCAAUGGUGGACCAAGAGGGAGUUCAAAUUUUACACUAGCGGAACAGCAGAUACAUGCACAAGUUGAUCCAAUCAUGAAGGAAGUAAAGAGGAUCAUCCGUGAAUCAAGGGAUGGCAUCAAGCUUUCUGGAGAUGAUGAGAGGUUCAUUGUUGAAAAUAUUCUCAUGUACCACCCAGAGAAGGAAAAGAAGAUGGCAGGGAAUAACAAUUACAUAACGGUUGCUAAGCAUCAAAAGUUCCAUAGCUCCAGGUGCUUGUACGUCGUGUCCUCAGACGGCCCUCCUACAGAUUUCUCCUACAAGAAGUGCCUAGAGAACAUGAUCAGGAUUCACUACCCACGUGAUGCAAGUUCAUUCUGCAGAAAGUACUUCCAGUGA